UACGUAGGGGGGCAAGCGUUGUCCGGAAUCAUUGGGCGUAAAGAGCGUGUAGGCGGCCCGGUAAGUCCGCUGUGAAAGUCCAGGGCUCAACCCUGGGGAUGCCGGUGGAUACUGUCGGGCUCGAGUCCGGAAGAGGAGUGUGGAAUUCCUGGUGUAGCGGUGAAAUGCGCAGAUAUCAGGAGGAACACCAAUGGCGAAGGCAGCACUCUGGGACGUGACUGACGCUGAGACGCGAAAAGCGU
rnacentral:rRNA from 1 species